GUAGCGAGAGUAAGGUGAGAAUCCUUACGGCCGAAUAUCCAAGGUUUCCAGGGUAAAGCUGAUCUGCCCUGGGGAAGUCGGGACCUAAGGCGAGGCCGAGAGGCGUAGCCGAUGGACAACAGGUUGAGAUUCCUGUACUACAGUAUGACAGAACUGUGGGGACGCAGAAGGAGAGCACUACCUGGAAUGGAAUCCAGGGGCAAGCACAGGAGGGGUACGGCUGGAAAAACCGCCGUGCAACCCAAAGGUGUGACGCAUACCGAACUAAAGUAGGGAAAUGUGUGAGCCGGCUGCCGAGAAAAGCCGCUAUUGUUUGUACUGUACCCGUACCGUAAACCGACACAGGUGGAUGAGGAGAGAAUCCUAAGGCCGACGGAAGAAGCAUUGCUAAGGAACUCGGCAAAAUGACCCUGUAACUUCGGGAGAAAGGGUGCCUCGAAAGAGGCCGCAGAGAAUAGGCCCAAGCAACUGCUUAGCAAAAACACAGGUCUAUGCAAAACCGCAAGGUGAAGUAUAUGGGCUGACGCCUGCCCGGUGCUGGAAGGUUAAGGGGAGAUGUCAGGAGACGAAGCAUCGAACUUAAGCCCCAGUAAACGGCGGCCGUAACUAUAACGGUCCUAAGGUAGCGAAAUUCCUUGUCGGGUAAGUUCCGACCCGCACGAAAGGCGUAAUGAUUUGGGCGCUGUCUCGGCAAUGCAUCCGGUGAAAUUGAAGUGCCAGUGAAGAUGCUGGCUACCCGCGCCAGGACGGAAAGACCCCAUGGAGCUUUACUCCAGCUUGAUACUGGGAUUCGGUAUUGUAUGUACAGGAUAGGUGGGAGGCUGAGAAAUGGUGACGCCAGUCGCCAUGGAGCCGCUGUUGGGAUACCACCCUUGCAGUACUGGAUUUCUAACCAGCAGCCGUGAUCCGGCUGGGGGACAAUGUCAGGUGGGGAGUUUGACUGGGGCGGUCGCCUCCGAAAGGGUAUCGGAGGCGCUCAAAGGUUCCCUCAGAAUGGUCGGAAACCAUUCGAAGAGUGCAAAGGCAGAAGGGAGCUUGACUGCGACACCGACGGGUGGGGCAGGUACGAAAGUAGGACUUAGUGAUCCGGUGGUAUUAAGUGGGAAUGCCAUCGCUCAACGGAUAAAAGCUACCCUGGGAUAACAGGCUUAUCACUCCCAAGAGUUCACAUCGACGGAGUGGUUUGGCACCUCGAUGUCGGCUCAUCGCAUCCUGGGGCUGUAGUAGGUCCCAAGGGUUGGGCUGUUCGCCCAUUAAAGCGGUACGCGAGCUGGGUUCAGAACGUCGUGAGACAGUUCGGUCCCUAUCCGGCGUGGGCGUAGGAUAUUUGAGAGGAGCUGACCUUAGUACGAGAGGACCGGGUUGGACUGACCUCUGGUGCACCGGUUGUCAUGCCAAUGGCACAGCCGGGUAGCCAAGUCGGGAAGGGAUAAACGCUGAAGGCAUCUAAGCGUGAAGCCCCCCUCAAGAUGAGAUAUCCCCCGCAUAAGCGGUAAGACCCCUUGAAGACGACGAGGUAGAUAGGGCAGAGGUGGAAGUGCAGUAAUGUAUGGAGCUGACUGCUACUAAUAGGUCGAAGGCUUAACCU
rnacentral:rRNA from 1 species